UGCUGAAUCCCGUGAACCAUCAAGUCUUUGAACGCAAGUUGCGCCCGAGGCCAAUCGGCCAAGGGCACGUCUGCCUGGGCGUCAAGCGUUGCGUCGCUUCGUGCCAUCACCACCCACCAAUGUGUGUGUUUGUGUAGGCUCGAAUGUGAAGAGUGGUUCGCCGUGCCCUUAGGUGCGGCGGACUGAAGAGCGGGUUGUUGUCCUCCUGGCCACGAUAGACAAGGGGUGGACGGAAGCCAAGAGCACGACCAAACAGUGUCUCAUGCUGGCCUGAGGAAGAUUAUACAUCCCAAGUGAACCCAUACCCAAAUGUCGUACCGCAAGCGUCGGCUUGGAAUGCGACCCCAGGAUGGGCGGGGCUACCCGCUGAGUUUAAGCAUAUCAAUAAGCGGAGGAGAAGAAACUUAACAGGAUUCCCCUAGUAACGGCGAGCGAACCGGGAUCAGCCCAGCAUGGGAAUCGAGUUGCCAUGUAGUAGCUCGA
rnacentral:rRNA from 1 species